rfam:Gossypium raimondii Chr10_contig_834, whole genome shotgun sequence.
AAUCCAUGCAUCAAACAUUUCCGAAUUAAAUCUUGAAACCAUUCCCAAGCUUCAUAUAAUGUUUCAUCCUCUGAUUGUCGAAUAGAUAUGAUGUCACUUCUGAGCUU